GUCCUUCUUGCGUUUUAGGCCGGAUCUACUGGCGACAGUGGCCGCAUCCUCGGGCAGGCAUGGAUGAGACUGGCGGGUGUCGGACAGCUCGCUGAGGGUGGGGUCUUCGACCUCAGCGUCCUCUCCAAAGCCUUCGUCAGGUUCCAGCUCAUCUAACAGAUCCUCUGGGACAUCGUGAUCGUCGCUGAUGCUGGGAAGAGGACUCCCUGUCUGCGCGUACAGAUUCCUGCUGCAGAGCCUGGGGUGCAAGCACGGGCAACGAGCCAGAAGCCACAACUGGAGGAGUCGUGGUCGCGGCUGGCGUCGGAGGAGUCUUCUUCACGGCGGCCGUCGGAGGAGUCUUCUUCAGAGCUGCUGUCGGAGGAGUCUUCUUCAGAGCUGCCGUCGGAGGAAUCUUCGGCCCUGUGGCUGGAUAAAUAAAAAGGGGGUAUAAGUGGCAACAUAAAAUACUGUCGGACACUAGCAGCUUGAGUGCGUCUUUGCCUGUGCCUUUAGGAAAAUAGCGCAAUUGCCCAAGUGUUGUGCUGCAAACACAAUGCUGUGAACUACUAGGUAAAGCUGAUGCAUUAUAGGAGUUAGAAAGGUCACCUAUUCCAUAAGGGAUUAACCAAACCUAAUGGCAGCAAGCACAAAGGAAGCAGCUAUACUGAACCAAAGACGGCUCCGCUACUACCGUGAUUCUACAGGGAAGGUGUAAAAGAACUUAAGCCAUGCACAGAGACAUGGAAACCAUGUCAUGCAGUUUUACAGACUUACCCUAUCCUUGUUCCUCGUGUAUUACAAAAAAAUAGAAACACUGUAAAGUACAGCUACACAUUACCAACAUAUACAAUCACGUAUGUAUACUUAUACCCGUGUCAGUCUUACACUGUUCAUACUUACCUGCAGGGUUCUUAAAGAGUACCAGUGGGCUAACUACUGAAUUAUACUUACAUGAAUGAGUCCAUCCUCUCCAAAAAGGGAUGGGAGAAAAAGAACCUGUAAAAAAAAGAAAGUGUACGUUUAUAAUGUGUGUACAAUGAAAUCCAAUUAGUGGCUAUUGGCUAUUGUAUGUUCUGA
rnacentral:lncRNA from 1 species